UCUGGUGUGUUCACACUCGUUGAGCGGAGGGUUUCAACAAUGGGACGAGAGAGUGCGGCGGAGGAAGCGCUAAAGCUUAUCCGAAGCAGACUCUGUGACCCUAGUUUUGUCUUCAGGGCUUUUUCUGAUUCUCCGGAGAGCAAUUACAGCAAAUUGAAGUUCAUAAUAUCAAGUUCAGUCACCGAGGCAUGCAACAACUCGAUCCUGCUUCUUGGCCCCCGUGGUUCUGGGAAAAUCGCGGUGCUGGAGCUUGUUCUCAAAGACUUGUUGCUGGAAUAUGCCGAUAUGAUUUCAGUCAUAAGGUUGAAUGGCCUUUUGCACCGUGAUGACAAUUGCGCUUUCAAGGAAAUUGCUAGACAGUUAUGUGUAGAGCAUCAACUGAUAUUCUCAAAAAUGGCAUCAUUUGAUGAUAACUCCCAAUUCAUGAUAGCCAUGUUAAGGGAGUGUGGAUUAGCGCAUAAAACAAUUAUUUUUGUGCUGGAUGAGUUUGACCUGUUUGCUCAGGGAAAGCAACGAGUACUUUAUAGUUUGCUAGAUGCAAUGCAAUCAGUAACAUCUCAAGCUGUUGUCAUUGGUGUGAGUUGCCGACUGGAUGCUGAUCAGCUUUUGGAAAAAAGAGUAAGAUCUCGUUUUUCACAUAGAAAGCUUCUGUUUCUUCCUCCCUCUCAGGGAGACAUAGAGAGAUUGUUGGAGCACAUUUUCUCAUUGCCAAUAGACUCAACCCUUCCUCAUGACUAUGCUGUUGAAUUUAAUGCUAAACUUCAAAAUAUGUUAGCAGAUGAUAAAUUCAAACAAACUAUUAAUACACAUAUGAAUUCUGAUGCCUCUGUGAACGACCUGUUGAGGUUUCUAUUUCGGGCUGUUUCUUAUAUGGAUUCGGGAUCUGGGCUCCUAUCACUUGAGUAUUUCAAAACUGCUCUCUCAAAUAUCCAAAGACAGCCAAAGUUGGAAUGUAUAAAAGAUUGCUCAGUCUUGGAACUUUAUGUUCUGGUAUGCAUGAAGAGGUUGGAAGUUAAAGAGAAAAAUUCAUACAACUUUAAUGCUGUAAUGAAAGAGUACAAGAGCAUACAUGAUUCUUUCAUGACGUCUGAUUAUUAUGCACAAAAUGUGUGCUUACGGGCAUUUGAACACCUUCUUCAUCGUGAAUUAAUCUGUUUUACAGACAAUAGAGCAUAUAAUCAAUCUGUUGAAUUUCGUCCAGUGAAGCUUCUAAUCUCAUUCCAUGAACUACAUCAGGGGCUAAAAUCAUAUCGUUCCUGUCCUGCCAUUCUUCUUAAGUUAAUGGAUCGCGAAGCUUAGUACAUUCAAGGGACAGAUUGAUGGUUGCUGAUUGUGUGAUGAUCGAAGAAUGUGGAUUCUACCAUUAUCAGUAAUCCUUUGAGGAAAAUUUCACUAUAUUUUAAGGAUUAGUGAAACUCAUUUCACAGCUUAGUUGCUAUCCCCCGCCAUCUUCAUUGCAUUUUUGCUUUUGGCGAAGCAGUCCACCACUCAUGACUUAGCCAGAUGAAAGGUGCACCUACUGCUACGUCCCAAGUACCCCCUUCCCUCCUUUUUGCUUACGUGCAUCUUAUAUGUACCACAUGCAUUACGCUAUAGCUGGACUCAAACUCGUUGACCAGAAAUCUCUGUGGAUGACAAUAUAGCCGGACGUUUGAUGAUAUUUUGAAAUCUUGAAAAGUUCUUCUCCAACUCAUUUA